UACAUGGGGUGCAAACGUUGCUCGGAAUUAUUGGGCGUAAAGCGCGCGUAGGCGGUUGCUCAAGUCGGAUGUGAAAGCCCUCGGCUUAACCGAGGAAGUGCACCCGAAACUGAGCAGCUAGAGUACGAAAGAGGGUCGCGGAAUUCCCGGUGUAGAGGUGAAAUUCGUAGAUAUCGGGAGGAACACCGGUGGCGAAGGCGGCGACCUGGGUCGAUACUGACGCUGAGGCGCGAAAGCCAGGGGAGCAAACGGG
rnacentral:rRNA from 1 species